GUCUAUGGCCAUGCCACCCUGAAUAAGCCUGAUUCUGUCUGAUCUUGGAAGCUACACAGAGUUAGGCCUGGUUAGUACUUGGAUGGGAGACCACCUAGGAAGACCAGGUGCUGUAGGUG
rnacentral:rRNA from 1 species